rnacentral:rRNA from 1 species
GGCAGGCCUAACACAUGCAAGUCGAGCGGAUGACGGGAGCUUGCUCCUUGAUUCAGCGGCGGACGGGUGAGUAAUGCCUAGGAAUCUGCCUGGUAGUGGGGGACAACGUUUCGAAAGGAACGCUAAUACCGCAUACGUCCUACGGGAGAAAGCAGGGGACCUUCGGGCCUUGCGCUAUCAGAUGAGCCUAGGUCGGAUUAGCUAGUUGGUGAGGUAAUGGCUCACCAAGGCGACGAUCCGUAACUGGUCUGAGAGGAUGAUCAGUCACACUGGAACUGAGACACGGUCCAGACUCCUACGGGAGGCAGCAGUGGGGAAUAUUGGACAAUGGGCGAAAGCCUGAUCCAGCCAUGCCGCGUGUGUGAAGAAGGUCUUCGGAUUGUAAAGCACUUUAAGUUGGGAGGAAGGGCAGUAAGYUAAUACCUUGCUGUUUUGACGUUACCGACAGAAUAAGCACCGGC